UUGGCUGCCCUGUACCACGAGGCGAGGUGG
rnacentral:piRNA from 2 species